rnacentral:rRNA from 1 species
GGUAAUGGUGUGCCGGCAGCCGAGGUAAUACAGAGGGUGCGAGCGGUAAUCGGAUUUACUUGGCGUAAAGCGCGCGUAGGUGGCGAAUUAAGUCAAAUGUGAAAUCCCCGGGCUUAACUUGGGAAUUGCAUUCGAUACUGGUUGGCUAGAGUAUGGGAGAGGAUGGUAGAAUUCCAGGUGUAGCGGUGAAAUGCGUAGAGAUCUGGAGGAAUACCGAUGGCGAAGGCAGCCAUCUGGCCUAAUACUGACACUGAGGUGCGAAAGCAUGGGGAGCAAACAGGAUUAGAUACCCGGGUAGUC